UGGGGUUUAGCCAAGCGGUAAGGCCCGGGGCUUUGAUCCCCGUAUGCGUUGGUUCAAAUCCAGCAACCCCAG
rnacentral:tRNA from 1 species